GAUGAACGCUGGCGGCGUGCCUAAUACAUGCAAGUCGAGCGAACAGACGAGGAGCUUGCUCCUCUGACGUUAGCGGCGGACGGGUGAGUAACACGUGGAUAACCUACCUAUAAGACUGGGAUAACUUCGGGAAACCGGAGCUAAUACCGGAUAAUAUAUUGAACCGCAUGGUUCAAUAGUGAAAGACGGUUUUGCUGUCACUUAUAGAUGGAUCCGCGCCGCAUUAGCUAGUUGGUAAGGUAACGGCUUACCAAGGCAACGAUGCGUAGCCGACCUGAGAGGGUGAUCGGCCACACUGGAACUGAGACACGGUCCAGACUCCUACGGGAGGCAGCAGUAGGGAAUCUUCCGAAAUGGGCGAAAGCCUGACGGAGAAACGCCGCGUGAGUGAUGAAGGUCUUCGGAUCGUAAAACUCUGUUAUUAGGGAAGAACAAAUGUGUAAGUAACUAUGCACGUCUUGACGGUACCUAAUCAGAAAGCCACGGCUAACUACGUG
rnacentral:rRNA from 1 species